UUUGUUUCCUAAUUAGAAACUAGAAUGAAAGGUUUAACAUUUUAAUUAUUUUAUUAAUUAUUUAUAUAAAUUUAUACUAAACAUAAAAAUAUGUUUAUGGUCUAAAAAGACGAUAAGACCCUAUUAAAUUUUACUUAAUGUUUAACUGGGGCAGUUAUUUAAUUAAUACUUUAAACACAUAAAAUAAAUACCUAAUAUAAAUAUACUAUAAUCAAAUUACUAUAGGGAUAACAGCGUUAUAUUAUUUAAAAGUUCAUAUUUAUAAUAAUGAUUGCGACCUCGAUGUUGAAUUAUAUUUCUAUUAUUAACGCAACAGU
rnacentral:rRNA from 1 species